rnacentral:sRNA from 1 species
AAAAGAGGGUAAAACCAACAAAAAAUGGCUUAGAAGUAGUAAACAGUUUUGUUAGUGUUUUUAUGGUCAAAAUGUGUCACAAUCCAAUGCAUUUGACUAAUUAUAAGAGUUAGAGAUGGAUUAGGAGUGUUUAGACAACACUUAUACCCAUUUUCUCCCAAAAGAGGCUAAAACCAACAAAAAUUUGCUAAGAAGCAGUAAAUAGGUUUGUUAGUGUUUCUAUGGUCAAAAUGUGUCACAAUCUAUU